GAAGAACCUUCCCUACUCUUGACAUCCAGAGAGCUUAGCAGAGAUGCUUUUGUUGCUUCGGGAACUCUGAGACAGGUGCUGCAUGGCUGUCGUCAGCUCGUGUUGUGAAAUGUUGGGUUAAGUCCCGCAACGAACGCAACUCUUAUUCUUUGUUGCCAGCGGUGCGGCCGUGAACUCCAAGGAGACUGCCAGUGAUAACUUGGAG
rnacentral:rRNA from 1 species